GCCCUUGGUGGCUCAGAUGGAAAGAGCGUCUGCCUCUGCAGCAGGAGGUCCCGGGUUUGAGUCCCGGUCGGGGCA